AGAGUUUGAUCCUGGCUCAGGACGAACGCUGGCGGCGUGCCUAAUACAUGCAAGUCGAACGCUUCUUUUCCCACCGGAGCUUGCUCCACCGGGAAAAGAGGAGUGGCGAACGGGUGAGUAACACGUGGGUAACCUGCCCAUCAGAAGGGGAUAACACUUGGAAACAGGUGCUAAUACCGUAUAACAAUCGAAACCGCAUGGUUUCGUUUUGAAAGGCGCUUUACGGUGCCGCUGAUGGAUGGACCCGCGGUGCAUUAGCUAGUUGGUGAGGUAACGGCUCACCAAGGCCACGAUGCAUAGCCGACCUGAGAGGGUGAUCGGCCACAUUGGGACUGAGACACGGCCCAAACUCCUACGGGAGGCAGCAGUAGGGAAUCUUCGGCAAUGGACGAAAGUCUGACCGAGCAACGCCGCGUGAGUGAAGAAGGUUUUCGGAUCGUAAAACUCUGUUGUUAGAGAAGAACAAGGGUGAGAGUAACUGUUCACCCCUUGACGGUAUCUAACCAGAAAGCCACGGCUAACUACGUGCCAGCAGCCGCGGUAAUACGUAGGUGGCAAGCGUUGUCCGGAUUUAUUGGGCGUAAAGCGAGCGCAGGCGGUUUCUUAAGUCUGAUGUGAAAGCCCCCGGCUCAACCGGGGAGGGUCAUUGGAAACUGGGAGACUUGAGUGCAGAAGAGGAGAGUGGAAUUCCAUGUGUAGCGGUGAAAUGCGUAGAUAUAUGGAGGAACACCAGUGGCGAAGGCGGCUCUCUGGUCUGUAACUGACGCUGAGGCUCGAAAGCGUGGGGAGCAAACAGGAUUAGAUACCCUGGUAGUCCACGCCGUAAACGAUGAGUGCUAAGUGUUGGAGGGUUUCCGCCCUUCAGUGCUGCAGCUAACGCAUUAAGCACUCCGCCUGGGGAGUACGACCGCAAGGUUGAAACUCAAAGGAAUUGACGGGGGCCCGCACAAGCGGUGGAGCAUGUGGUUUAAUUCGAAGCAACGCGAAGAACCUUACCAGGUCUUGACAUCCUUUGACCACUCUAGAGAUAGAGCUUCCCCUUCGGGGGCAAAGUGACAGGUGGUGCAUGGUUGUCGUCAGCUCGUGUCGUGAGAUGUUGGGUUAAGUCCCGCAACGAGCGCAACCCUUAUUGUUAGUUGCCAUCAUUUAGUUGGGCACUCUAGCAAGACUGCCGGUGACAAACCGGAGGAAGGUGGGGAUGACGUCAAAUCAUCAUGCCCCUUAUGACCUGGGCUACACACGUGCUACAAUGGGAAGUACAACGAGUCGCGAAGUCGCGAGGCUAAGCUAAUCUCUUAAAGCUUCUCUCAGUUCGGAUUGUAGGCUGCAACUCGCCUACAUGAAGCCGGAAUCGCUAGUAAUCGCGGAUCAGCACGCCGCGGUGAAUACGUUCCCGGGCCUUGUACACACCGCCCGUCACACCACGAGAGUUUGUAACACCCGAAGUCGGUGAGGUAACCUUUUUGGAGCCAGCCGCCUAAGGUGGGAUAGAUGAUUGGGGUGAAGUCGUAACAAGGUAGCCGUAUCGGAAGGGGCGGCUGGAUCACCU
rnacentral:rRNA from 1 species